CAUUAGACGAACCCAUAGCUCAGUGCUUAGAGUAUGCUCUAUGCUCCUCACUGGUGGGAGAUGCCCUGUUCAAAUCUGUUUUUCCCCAAUCAGGCAGAGGGCGGGGAUUGAACCAGCAUCUUCCACAGCCUGGGUGAGCCUGCGAAACACUGGGAUAAAAGUUAUAAGGUCAGUUGCUGUACUUGCAACCAGCCAACUCUUUAUAUGAAUUAGGCAUUCACAAAGAGUUGCAGCGGUAGUGAGCAUGGAGGCCAGGAAUGCCUGGCUUCCUGUGGCAAACUUGGCAUCUGAUAAGAGGACUCCAUUUAACAGCCUCUGCCCAUGGCAAGUUACGUAACCAGCAGGCAAUGUCCUGAGUGUCACAGACGAAAUCUGUAUAACAGUUUAGAGGAAAUAAAAUCGCUUUAACAAACAUUUAUAAUAGAUUUAACACCUGUAUGUUU